rnacentral:sRNA from 12 species
UCUAUCAGCUAUUGGCUUUAAAUUUGCAGAACUAAAAACUGCAUAAGUGAUAGGAUACCCAUAGAAAGAGAAAGGCUGUUUUUUUCUAAGGUUUUUUAAAUCUCCCUUAUAAUUAAUUUUUGAGAGAAAUUUUAAGAGUUAAUUUAAGGAAAAAGAUUAAAAAAUUUUUGCAAGGUAUAAAAAGUUAAAAAAUUUAGACAUUAAAGAUUAAAGAACAGCCCUUUAAUCUUUUUU